CAUUAAAUUCUCUCAGUUUUAUUUUUCUGGGGAAAUCUUUAUUUUAUCUUCAUUCUGAAUCACAGCUUUGCUGGCAAUACAAUUCUUGGUUGACAGUUUCUUUCUCUGAGACUUUGAAUGUCAUCCCACUACCUUUUGGCCUCCAUUGUUUCUGCUAAGUGAGCCACUAAUUCUACUAGGGUUCCCUUGUAAGUAAUGAGUUAUUUUUUUCUUGCUGCUUAAAGAUUUCCUCAUUGUCUUUGACUUUCGACAUUUGUCCUAUGCUGUGCCUCACAUUUCUAAGGUUCUCUUCAUUCUUUUUUCUCUGUUUUUCAGUGUGUCUAAUCUCUAUUAGUCUGUUAUUCUUUCCUCUGUCAGUUCAAACCUAUUGUUGAGCCCUUUGGUGAAUUUUUUGGUUAUUGUGCUUUUCAACUCCAUAAUUUCCAUUUGGCUCCUUUAAUAAUCUCAAUUUUUUUGUUGAUAUUGUCUUACUUGAUGUGACAUUGUCAUCCUACCUUCAAUUACUUCUUUAAUCAUGGCUCCUUUUAGUUCUCUGAACAGGUUCAUAAUGGCUACUUUAAAGUCUUUUCUGAUAAAUGCAACAUCUGGUUCCUCUUACUGUCAAUUUCUGUUGUCUGCUUUUUUUCUGCUGUUUGGGUUGUACUUUCCUGUUUCCUUGUGCUUUGUAAUUUUUGGUUUAAAACUAGAUAUUGAAAAUCAUAUAUUGUAGUAACUCUGGUUGCUGGUCCCCCCUUCUCUGGAGCUUAUUAUAAUGUGCUUAUUUAUGUAGUAAACGACUGGAUUAUUUUAGUGAAGUCCCUUUUCUCCAAACUGUGUUUAGCCACUAAUGUUGUUCCUUCAGGAGGUACAGCACUGGGUAUGCCCACAGUCACUCCGGAAUCAGUGGGUUUGGUGGGUCUCUCCUCCUCUUUUCACUGACCCCACCUACCUGCUAAAACCAUACUAUUAUCAGAUGAUUGCUCUAGUGUUUUCAACAGUACCCUGGGAGCACAAACUGCUCUAAAAUUUAUACAGUUGAAUUCUGGCUUCUUCAACUGAACAAUUUUUUAGACUUGAAAUUAUUCACUCUGCUGCAAUAAGCUAAAUUCCUUCUGAAAGAGAUGAAAAGCUAUCUGUUUUAUGGUGGGUUUCUCCCCGCAGGUACAAUCUCUGAGCCAGGGCACUGGAGCUGGGAAAGGGAACGAUGGUAAGCUUCUCUCUGAGUGACAUCCCCACUCUAGGGGCUAAGCCCUUGAUUGUGAGGGAGGUGUUAAAGAAAAAAUUAUUCUGACACUUGUUAAGAUGAGAAAGAAGACUUUCUUCAGAAUGAUCCCGAUAGGUGUCAAGAUAAUUGAGGCUGGGCGCAGUGGCUCACGCCUGUAAUCUCAGCAUUUUGGGAGGCUGAGGUGGGUGGAUCACUUGAGGUCAGGAGUUCUACACCAGCCUGGCCUGGCCAACGUAGUAAAACCCUGUCUCUACUAAAAAUACAAAAUUAGCCAGGGAUGGUGGCAGGCAUCUGUAAUCCCAGCUACUUGGGAGGCUGAGGCAGGAGAAUCACUUGAACCUAGGAGGCAGAGGUUGCAGUAAACCAAGAUCGCACCAUUGCACUCCAGCCUGGGUGACAGAGCAAGACUCCGUUCUCAAAAAAAAAAAAAAAAAAAAAAAAUUAUUGAGAUAGAAGAGAUCAGUCUCAAUUACAAACUCACGAGGAACAAGUAGGGAUUUAUAGGCAAGGAGUAAGUUGGAGAAGGGUUGUCAGUAGAUGGAAAAUUACUAAGAGGAGACAGAAAUGAAGGGUAAGGGAAAUUCUUGCUACAUUUACCAAACAGGAUUCUUGCUUAAGUCAGGUCAGGUUGAUCAGAUAUAAAGGGUCAAGGGGAUUCUUUUUAAACUGCCAGGAUUCUUGCUAAAACUGGGCUCUUGAGGACAAGGUCCAAGAAUGAGGCCUAGUCUAAAAAAGUUUCUAAGCCUGGCCAGGUGCAGUGGCUCACACCUGUAAUCCCAGCACUUCGGGAGGCCGAGGCGGGUGGAUCACAAGGUCAGGAAAUCGAGACCAUCCUGGCUAACACGGUGAAACCCUGUCUCUACUAAAAAUACAAAAAUUAGCCAGGUGUGGUGGCAGGCGCCUGUAGUCCCAGCUACUUUCCCAAGUAGCUGAGGCAGGAGAAUGGGGUGAACCUGGGAGAUGGAGGUGGCGGUGAGCCGAGAUCACGCCACUGUACUCCAGCCUGGGCGACAGAGUGAGACUCUGUCUCAAAAAAAAAAAAAAAAAAAGUUUCUAAGCCUGACUAAAGUUUGGGUAAGGAGAGAGCCUCUGUCAGUGCAGAGCAGCUGGGGUCCUCUCGGCUUGCCUCUCUUGCCAUGGAACCACCACCUCGCAAGCCAGGACCAAGGCCCCAUUAUCUUAGCAUGUCAUGCCUAAGGAAGCCUCCAGUCCAUGAGUGGGGUCUGGGUGGAAUAAGAGAGCCUCAGCAACAGGUGGCUACGAGCAGGAUGAGAAAAGCUGUGGUUCUGCUAUUCCCAGGACGAAAGCCCUCUGUGAGGGGAUGUUCUUGGCUGCAGCAGCCUGUCUGGGGGCCUGGAUAGAACAAAAGGGCAAGAAGAAAGGCAAAUUUCCUCUCUCCUAGAGCUAGAACACCAUUUUAUCUCCUGUCCUUUGGCAUCAGAACUCCAGAUUCUCUGGCCUUUGGACUCUGGGACUUGCACCGGCAGCCCCCUGGGUUCUCAGGUCUUUGGCCUUGGACUGAGAGUUAGACCAGUGGCUUCCCUGGGUUUUGGGGCCUUCAGACUUGAAUGAGCCACCCCCUACUGGCCUCCCUAGCCUGCAGACGGCCUGUUUUAAGACUUAUCAGCCUACAAUCACAUGAACCAAUUAUAUCUACCUACCUACCUACUUAUUUAUCUAUCCUACCUGUUCUGUCUCUCUGGAGAACCCUGACAAAUCCAAAGCCCUAGUCCACAGUACCUCAAAAUCUGACUGUAUUUGGGAAUAGAGCUUUUAAAGAGGUAAAGUACAAUGAGGCCAUAUGGGCAGGCCCUACUCCAAUAUAACUGGUAUCCUUUAAGAGGACAUUGGGACACAGACUCACACAAACCAAAAGAUAACCAACCACGUGAGAACAUAGGGAGAAGGUGGCCAUCUACAAAUCAAUGGGAGAGGCCUCAGAAGAAACCAAACCUGCUGACUGACACUUUGAUCUCAGACUUCUACCCUCCAGAAUUGUGAGAAAAUGAGUAUCUAUUAUUUAAGCCACCCAGGUUGUUGUAUGUAAUUUGUUACAGUAGCCCUAGUAAACUAAUACAAUGUACACGGAACUAUUUUGGCCUCCUUGGGACUGCCCAUAUAUGGGCAAUCUAUGCUUCUGGGGAACAUGAUGGAAGAAGUUAUGGUUAUCACACAAAUGUACAGGUCAGAGACAAUAAACUUUGGUGAGGGUAUGGAUCUAUGAAUCCAUACGCUCAAAUACAGUUGUGCUGUUGGAGUUUGUCACUGAAUUCCCGAAGCCCUAUAUAGACAGCAGAUGUUUUUGUAGGUUGAGGCAAGGCUCCAUUUUCCUUCUGUAUAUGUUCAGCUCUCUGGGUAUUUCAUUCAUCAGAUGGCAGCUUGGCUUAGAGAAGGUGUUGGUCUGUAUUAACGCAAUGGCUGCCACCAAGUCACUACAAGCACUAGGGUUCUAUCAAUGAUGAUCUAGCUCAGUGGCUUUGUCAUGGGGACUGCCAGGGGAAAGAAUCUGGGGCUGGUUCCGUCAGAAGCUCCUACCAGCUGAAAGGAAAUGGCAGAUAUUCAACAGAUAAUCUACUGUAUGCUGGUCUCUGCAUGGGUAUUUUAUUUCUUAUAAAGAAGAUCCUGCUUCUUACUAAAUAGGGGUUGUCACUAGAACCCUGUAAUCUCUUCAAUCUUUAUGCCCUUAUUUAAAAGAAUUUAGAAUAAAUUCAUUCUAACAGUGAGCUAACAUCAUAGACCAAGCACACAAACUAACAGUUAAUUCUGCAGCCCUGGGAACUUUUUUUUUUUUUUUUUAAAUGACAGAGUCCCGCUCUGUCACCCAGGCUGGAGUACAGUGGUGCGAUCUUGGCUCAAUGCAACCUCUGCCUCCCAGGUUCAAGCGAUUCUCCUGCCUCAGCCUUCCGAGUAGCUGGGACUACAGGCGUGAGCCACCACACCUGUCUAUUUUGUAUUUUUAGUAGAGACAGGGUUUCACCAUAUUAGCCAGGAUGGUUUUGAACUCCAGACCUCAGGUGAUCUGCCGGCCUUGGCCUCCCAAAGUGCUGGAAUUGCAGGCAUGAGCCACCGUGCCCAGCCAAGAACUAUUUUUUGAAUAAAAAAACUGGAAGUGUUCUGAAAAUACAAGGAUAGUCUGCCUGUUCUAGAAAAUCUGGGGCUGGUAGCUACUAUUCUUGGACCAUAUUGAGAGAUGGUUAAAAACAUUAGAUGCUCAAAAAAUCAGGUAAAUUAUUUAGAUUUAGUUUGCAAGCUAGUCCAUGUUGCAAGAAAGGACAUACCAGUGCUUUCCAUCUUUAUUAUAAUGUUCCUUGAUGGCAUGGCUAGACUUUUACAACUUUGGAUCCUCUGGCAAUGCAUAUAUCUGUCAAAUCAGCCCACACUAAAGCACAGCAAUAAGAGGCAUGGGGGUGAGGGAGCGAUCAGGACAAUCCUAAACCUUGGCAUUUUUUCCAGAUGAGAUCGGGUGCAGUCAGGGUAGUAUGGCAUGCAGACAUUUGUGUUUUUUUCAAAGUAAUUCCUACCUAAAUAAGUUUUUGUUCCUACCUAGUUAUAUUUCAUUCUCAAGUUCAUAUAUAUUGUUUCUGUCAUAAAGGAUAAAUGUGCAUUGAAAAUUCAUAGGAUAUAUAAGGCAAUCUAAGACAGCUAUGAUUAACAUAUCAAGUCACACAAAAUAAGAAGUAUAAAAGAAGCAUAAAAUAAAGUUAAAAAUGAAAUGAAACACUAAUAAAUGAAAAAACAAACAUUGCGGAGGAUCAAAACACAUGAAAAACAGGUUAUUUGAAAAUACUUCUGCAAGAUGGCUCAAGAAAAGGAGAAAAGGCACAACUGAAAAACAGUAAUAUGGAUAUACAGGCUGGGCGCGGUGGCUCACGUUUGUAAUCCCAGCACUUUACAAGGCUGCGGCAGGCGGAUCACUUGAGGCCAGGAGUUCGAGACCAGCCUAGCCAACAAGGUGAAACCCGUCUCUACUAAAAACAUAAAAACACAAAAAUUAGCCAGGCGUGGUGGUACACGCCUGUAAUCCCAACUACUUGGGAGACUGAGGCACAAGAAUUGCUUGAGCCUGGGAGACGGACAUUGCAGUGAGCUGAGAUUGUGCCACUGCACUCCAGCCUGGAUGAAAGAGCAAGACUCUGUCUCAAAUAAUAAGUAAAUAAAUAGUAAAUAUAAACAAAAAUAAAAAUGGGUAUAGGCCGAGUGCAGUGACUCACUUCUGCAUACUCAGCACUUUGGGAGGCCAGGAGUUUGAGACCAGCCUGGGAAACACAGCAAGACCUCAUCCCUCCAAAAACAAGAAGAUAUAAUUACUGAUAAGGCAGAGAUUUAAAAACAUUAUAAACUUUAACCAAUAUGUUUGAAAACUACUAUAUAAAUUA
rnacentral:lncRNA from 1 species